rnacentral:rRNA from 1 species
AUUGAACGCUGGCGGCAGGCCUAACACAUGCAAGUCGAGCGGAUGAGUGGAGCUUGCUCCAUGAUUCAGCGGCGGACGGGUGAGUAAUGCCUAGGAAUCUGCCUGGUAGUGGGGGACAACGUUUCGAAAGGAACGCUAAUACCGCAUACGCCCUACGGGAGAAAGUGGGGGAUAUUCGGACCUAACGCUAUCAGAUGAGCCUAGGUCGGAUUAGCUAGUUGGUGAGGUAAAGGCUCACCAAGGCGACGAUACGUAACUGGUCUGAGAGGAUGAUCAGUCACACUGGAACUGAUACACAGUCCACACUCCUACGGGAGUCAGCAGUAGGGAAUAUUUGACAAUGGGCGAUAGCCGUAUCCAGCCAUGCCGCGUGUGUGAAGAAGUUCUUCGGAUGGUAAAGCACUUUAAGUUGUGAGGAAGGGCAGUAAGUUAAUACCUUGCUGUUUUGACGUUACCAACAGAAUAAGCACCGGCUAACUUCGUGCCAGCAGCCGCGGUAAUAC